rnacentral:rRNA from 1 species
GUAGAAGGCAAACGUUAUUCGGAUUUACUGGGCGUACAGCGGGUGUAGACGGUUUGGUAAGUCGAAUGUGAAAUCUCCAGACUUAAUCAGGAGCGGUCGUUGGAUACUAAUAGGCUAGAGGUCGGCAGAGGAAAGCGGAAUUCCCGGUGUAGCGGUGAAAUGCGUAGAGAUCGGGAGGAAGGCCGGUGGCGAAGGCGGCGCUCUGGAACGUUUCUGACGCUGAGGCUCGAAAGCGUGGGGAGCAAACAGGAUUAGAUACCCUGGUAGUCCACGCCUUAAACUAUGAAUACUAAGUGUCGGCAGUUUACUGCCGGUGCCGCAGCUAACGCAUUAAGUAUUCCGCCUGGGAAGUACGGCCGCAAGGUUG